CUUCGUUAUGGCGAGCCUAAAUUAGUUCAGGAGUAAAAAUGUGCCUCACAAUUCACAUAAUAAGUUGCAGGGUGUAAUGAACACGAGGGGAGACAGAGAGCUGGUUUCAAGUGCAGGGCGCAGCAGGUGUUUAUUGCAAUGGACCACAGGAGGAGGCAGGGAGCUGGGUCCAGGGGCAGGCAGAAGGUCAUACACAGGAGGAGGCAGGUAGCUGGGUCCAGGGGCAGGAAGAAGGUCAUACACAGGAGGAGGCAGGUAGCUGGGUCCAGGGGCAGGUAGAAGGUCAUACACAGGAGGAGGCAGGUAGCUGGGUCCAGGGGCAGGUAGAAGGUCAUACACAGGAGGAGGCAGGUAGCUGGGGGCAGGGGCAGGUAGAAGGUCAUACACAGGAGGAGGCAGGUAGCUGGGUCCAGGGGCAGGCAGAAGGUCAUACACAGGAGGAGGCAGGUAGCUGGGUCCAGGGGCAGGCAGAAGGUCAUACACAGGAGGAGGCAGGUAGCUGGGUCCAGGGGCAAGCAUAAGGUCAUACACAGGAGGAGGCAGGUAGCUGGGUCCAGGGGCAAGCAGAAGGCCACACACAGGGGGUCCAAAAGGGCAACAGUACAGGCAGGGAAAAGGCUAGUAACGUAGUUCGGGAGAUCAGGCAAUAGGUAGAUAACAGGACAUCCGAUAGGCUAAAGUACAGGCAGGGAAUAGGCUAAAGGCGUCAUUAGUGAGGCAGGCAACAACUCUCAUACACGGGAGUUAUUCAAGGGAAACCCAGCGCUCCGAAUGCCGUGUGUCAC
ensembl:lncRNA